GAACGUCGAAAGUCUUCGGAUGAGUAGAAGUGGCGUACGGGUGAGUAACACGUGGGUAAUCUGCCUUAAAGUGGGGAAUAACCAGUCGAAAGAUUGGCUAAUACCGCAUAAGACCACAGGAUCUGCGGAUCAAGGGGUUAAAGGAGCAAUUCGCUUUAAGAUGAGCCCGCGCGGGAUUAGCUAGUUGGUGAGGUAAUGGCUCACCAAGGCUACGAUCUCUAACUGGUCUGAGAGGAUGAUCAGUCACACUGGAACUGAGACACGGUCCAGACUCCUACGGGAGGCAGCAGUAGGGAAUAUUGCGCAAUGGGGGAAACCCUGACGCAGCGACGCCGCGUGAGUGAUGAAGGACUUCGGUUCGUAAAGCUCUGUCGCAGGGGAAUAAAUUCGAAUGUACCCUGUAAGAAAGGAUCGGCUAACUUCGUGCCAGCAGCCGCGGUAAGACGAGGGAUCCUAGCGUUGUUCGGAAUCAUUGGGCGUAAAGAGGGUCUAGGUUGUUUUAUAAGUCAGAUGUGAAAGCCCCGGGCUUAACCCGGGAAGUGCAUUUGAUACUGUUGAACUUGAGUGUGGGAGAGGCUAGUAGAAUUCCAGGUGUAGUGGUGAAAUACGUAGAUAUCUGGAGGAAUACCGGUGGCGAAGGCGGCUAGCUGGCCCAACACUGACACUUCAACCCGAAAGCGUGGGGAUCAAACA
rnacentral:rRNA from 1 species